rnacentral:tRNA from 1 species
UAGCUCAGUGGUUAGAGUGUUGGCCUUGGGACCCAAGGGUUUUGGGUUUGAUCCCCAA